ACGCUGGCGGCGUGCCUAAUACAUGCAAGUAGAACGCUGAAGCUUGGUGCUUGCACCGAGCGGAAGAGUUGCGAACGGGUGAGUAACGCGUAGGUAACCUGCCUCUUAGCGGGGGAUAACUAUUGGAAACGAUAGCUAAUACCGCAUAAAAGUCGACAUUGCAUGAUGUUGACUUGAAAGGUGCAAAUGCAUCACUAAGAGAUGGACCUGCGUUGUAUUAGCUAGUUGGUGAGGUAACGGCUCACCAAGGCGACGAUACAUAGCCGACCUGAGAGGGUGAUCGGCCACACUGGGACUGAGACGCGGCCCAGACUCCUACGGGAGGCAGCAGUAGGGAAUCUUCGGCAAUGGACGGAAGUCUGACCGAGCAACGCCGCGUGAGUGAAGAAGGUUUUCGGAUCGUAAAGCUCUGUUGUAAGAGAAGAACGAGUGUGAGAGUGGAAAAUUCACACUGUGACGGUAACUUACCAGAAAGGGACGGCUAACUACGUGCCAGCAGCCGCGGUAAUACGUAGGUCCCGAGCGUUAUCCGGAUUUAUUGGGCGUAAAGCGAGCGCAGGCGGUUAGAUAAGUCUGAAGUUAAAGGCUGUGGCUUAACCAUAGUACGCUUUGGAAACUGUUUAACUUGAGUGCAGAAGGGGAGAGUGGAAUUCCAUGUGUAGCGGUGAAAUGCGUAGAUAUAUGGAGGAACACCGGUGGCGAAAGCGGCUCUCUGGUCUGUAAUUGACGCUGAGGCUCGAAAGCGUGGGGAGCAAACAGGAUUAGAUACCCUGGUAGUCCACGCCGUAAACGAUGAGUGCUAGGUGUUGGGUCCUUUCCGGGACUCAGUGCCGCAGCUAACGCAUUAAGCACUCCGCCUGGGGAGUACGACCGCAAGGUUGAAACUCAAAGGAAUUGACGGGGGCCCGCACAAGCGGUGG
rnacentral:rRNA from 1 species